GCCGGGAUGGCGGAAUUGGUAGACGCACAGGACUUAAAAUCCUGGGUUGCGAAAGCGACGUGCCGGUUCGAUUCCGGCUCUCGGCA
rnacentral:tRNA from 1 species